rnacentral:tRNA from 1 species
GCCAGGGCGAGCUUCGCUGGCGCGGAGUGCGGCCUUCAAAGCCGUAGGGGCUUAGCGGCCCAGUGGUUCGAUUCCACCGACUUGGC